UACGUAGGGGGCAAGCGUUGUCCGGAUUUAUUGGGCGUAAAGAGCGCGUAGGCGGCUAUGUAAGUCCGUUGUGAAAACUCGAGGCUCAACCUCGAGACGCCGAUGGAAACCGCGUGGCUAGAGUCCGGAAGAGGAGAGUGGAAUUCCUGGUGUAGCGGUGAAAUGCGCAGAUAUCAGGAAGAACACCCGUGGCGAAGGCGGCUCUCUAGGACGGUACUGACGCUGAGACGCGAAAGCGUGGGGAGCGAACAGG
rnacentral:rRNA from 1 species